GCAUUUUUUCCUGUUUAUUUUAGGUUCUUAAUCUAACAGAAAAGUUGUGGGACGAAUUGAAUGAUGAUACAAAAUUCCACAUACAAAAAGAGCUGGAAUGCUGCAGUUAUAACGGCACGAGCGAGUACACUCUACCACUUCCGGACAGCUGUUCAAAUGACCAGGGCGAGCAAUUUAAGACAUUUUGCAAAGACGCAAUGGAAGUUUGGGUGAAAAACAACAUUCCAAUUUGGGCUUCCAUGGUCGGUGGCAUUGGCUUUAUACAGGCUUUGGCUACUAUAUCGUCCUGUUUAACGCUGAAAGCUGUUGAGGACGCUAUGCGGGUUGGAGUUGAAUAAUGAUAGCUACACACUUACAGACAGUUGUUUUUGGUGCUUGGAAGUUACGACAGUUGAUGACGUCAUUCUUCUUUGCUAUUUUCACCACUUCUACGUAAAUUUUGUAUAUUUUGUAAAAAAAAAAAUUGAAAACAGCUGGUCAGGGAUUUUCUACAAAAAAAACUACGCGUUUAUUUAAACUUAAAUUCCAUUUGGAAUUUCGGUUUAUGAAAGUAACUGACUUAUUGUAUAAGUAAAUCACUUGAAAGAUACAAAAGGGACCAGGAAAACUUCAAACAAUUUUGAUUUACGACUUCUUCGACGACGACAAUCAGUUAAUCUUUUUGUGAAUUAUCAUCUUUAGUGUUUGCUCUUUAAGCUUUUAUUUUACUCUUGCGACUAAAAAUAUCUUCCAAAGUAUAGUUAGCGAACAAAUUAAAAUUUAUCAUACGUAUUUAAGAUAUCUGGCUAAUAUUAAUUUUAAGUGAUAGCCUACAGGGUGUUUAAAUGUUCUUUAAUGUUUCUUUUUUUUGUUUCAAACUUGAUGAAAAUGGGGGUUUUGAAAAUGUUAAAGGUGACUUUGAAACUUACAUGAAUAUUAUAUUAGGUGUUGGCUUUAUACCGACUCCCCAUAAUUCCAUAAUUAUAAAUUGUUUAAUAAUAAAGCAGAUGGUGUUUUUAUUGUAGAGAAUCUUCAUUUAAAUAGAAAA